AUGAUUACAAGUGUCAUAAUAAAUGUUGUCUUUUUGUCUCAUUAACAGAAUCACUAUUGUUCCUGCCUUGUCUCCGGCCAUCUCUGCACCAGCUGUAUGAAUAAUGAAUGAAAACACCAGAUGAUGUAAAGGAGAACUAAUGAAGUUUGCAGUUUGAACAGGACACACAACACACUCCAGUCAGAUGAAGGAGGCAGCACACUGAGUGUUUCCACUUUCCAUCUGCCACUGUGCUUGCGUAACCGUUCCAGAGGACAGUGUUGAGCAAGAUGGGGGACCCAGCACCAUGCAGCAUGCAGCACCAGCUGUGACUCAUGAUGAGCAGGACUCUCUCUUCCUCUUUCUCAGUCUCUCUGAGCCUGUCUGUCUGGGUCUAUGGGGAGAUGCUGGACCCCAGUAGCCUAGUUUUUUCUGGUAAUUACCGUGCAAUCAGUUUAUAAUUCAUGUACCUUUUGAACUGAGAAGAGCAGGAGGUUGUCACAAGGUGUGGUAAGUGUGCAAUAAUACACGUGUACAUGGUUUUAUAAGUGGGGGGGCAUAAUAUCAAUAUUAUUUAUAUAUUUUUUUAAUCCAGUCGGAUAAACACUCCAAACGGCCUACCCGACGCUCGGAGGCGUCCGCAUGGUCCUAAAGCACACAGUUGCCUUGUUUUGUAUCACAUUCCAAUGAUAAAACUGGGGGGACAAAAAUGUCAUUUCAGAAUGUUCCUUCCCCAGUAAAAGUUUCACCCCUGUGUAAUUGUGUAGCCUAAUUACAUUGUUGUGAAGGAGCAUCAAUCCACCCAUUGUUAAAACUCCUAAAUGUGACAAUGAAAUAAGUAUGAAAUUAAAUAAUUAUUGAGUGUGUCUCUCUUCAUUCAGUAAAGGACAUGCCAUUCCUCCAGCAUCUAUCAAGUGCUUGUCAACACCUUUAAAAUACAUCAUUAUAGAGCUGCUGAAUUGAAAGAAUCUAACCUU